GUAAGGAAUAUUGGUCAAUGGACGCAAGUCUGAACCAGCCAUGCCGCGUGGAGGAUGAAGGUCCUCUGGAUUGUAAACUUCUUUUAUCUGGGAAGAAACCCAUAUUUUCUAGUGUGGUUGACGGUACCAGAUGAAUAAGCACCGGCUAACUCCGUGCCAGCAGCCGCGGUAAUACGGAGGGUGCAAGCGUUAUCCGGAUUCACUGGGUUUAAAGGGUGCGUAGGCGGGUUGGUAAGUCCGUGGUGAAAUCUCCGAGCUUAACUCGGAAACUGCCGUGGAUACUAUCAAUCUUGAAUAUCGUGGAGGUAAGCGGAAUAUGUCAUGUAGCGGUGAAAUGCUUAGAUAUGACAUAGAACACCAAUUGCGAAGGCAGCUUACUACACAACGAUUGACGCUGAGGCACGAAAGCGUGGGGAUCAAAC
rnacentral:rRNA from 1 species